rnacentral:rRNA from 1 species
AUUGAACGCUGGCGGCAUGCCUUACACAUGCAAGUCGAACGGCAGCACGGGUGCUUGCACCUGGUGGCGAGUGGCGAACGGGUGAGUAAUACAUCGGAACAUGUCCUGUAGUGGGGGAUAGCCCGGCGAAAGCCGGAUUAAUACCGCAUACGAUCUACGGAUGAAAGCGGGGGACCUUCGGGCCUCGCGCUAUAGGGUUGGCCGAUAGCUGAUUAGCUAGUUGGUGGGGUAAAGGCCUACCAAGGCGACGAUCAGUAGCUGGUCUGAGGGGACGACCAGCCACACUGGGACUGAGACACGGCCCAGACUCCUACGGGAGGCAGCAGUGGGGAAUUUUGGACAAUGGGCGAAAGCCUGAUCCAGCAAUGCCGCGUGUGUGAAGAAGGCCUUCGGGUUGUAAAGCACUUUUGUCCGGAAAGAAAUCCUUGGCUCUAAUACAGUCGGGGGAUGACGGUACCGGAAGAAUAAGCACCGGCUAACUACGUG